rnacentral:lncRNA from 1 species
GCUGGAGAUCCCUGUCUUUCUGAGGCCUUUCAAAGGAAGAGUGGAGUGAAAGGCUGUGUGGUGCUGAGCUGUUUGCCAGGUGAAAUCACAGCACAAAAUAUCUUCAAAUAAUCACUGAAGGACCUGGAACUGCAGCUGGUUUAAGAGAUGCUUAUUUUAUGCUGGUGAAAGGGAAACAAUAUCUUCAAAGAGGAAACAUAGAAUUUUUCUUCAAUCAAGAACGAUAAAAAAGACAUCCCUCCAGGAACAUAAAAAAAGAAGAGGCAAAACAUCACUGGGAAAACACCAUCCUAGUUGCCUUCUGUUGGCAUGUAUCAUCGAGAAGAUAAUAGUGGAAACUAAUAACUACUUAAAUUGCUGACCCACCAAUUUCUGAAUAUUAAAAACCUGACAUGGAAGGAAGGAAGAGUUUUACAUAGAGUUCCUUUAUUACUAAUAAGUGGGCAAAAUCUCAUCCUCAGCAUUUGUCCAAGGCUGCUGCACUGAGGCAAUGCCAUCUGAGCAAAUCUCAGGUAUGCUGUGCCUUUCCAAGGACACUCCUAGUCAGAGAUCCAGGUUUCUGUGCAUUCAUUUGUGAAGAGCAGUCCUCCCUGCCACUGACCAGGAUGAUCCAGCUAGAAAGAGUCAGAUGAAAGACAUAUACACAGUUGAAUGCCCUUCAGUGUGUAACUCCAAUAAAAAAGGAUUAAAACAUGUCAGUUUUAUUAAGUAACAUUAAACGACUGUGUACUAAUUGGUUUAUACUUUGCUAAACCUUCACGUUACUGCAGCAGAUGUUCCUGGCUUUAUAGCAUCUCCAAUACUAGUAUGUAGUGACACGUCUUUAAACUGCCUUAAUCAAGUCGCAUUUAAUUUCUUACUCUAGAUCUAAGAUAAAAUGCUAAAACGUCUUUGGAGAAAACACUAAUGAGACAAGUAAAAAAUCUAUUACUGUUUGUGUGAAAACUUUUGUCUGUUCACUUUAUCCAAAUCAGACUUUCUUAAACUGUUGUUAAAAACAAAAAACAACAAAAAGGAAAAACAACAAAAACAAACAACUCAUGUACCUGUCAUUUCACAUCCUCACUCAUAUUAUUCUGUGGCUUGUUUUCUUGUCACUAAUUGAAUUCAGAAGCUACACCGUAGUGUAUGGCUUGUUUGCUUUUUCUUGGGAGGAGAACAAAUAAAAAAUGAACAAAUAAAUGCUGCAAACUUGACAGCUGCUACUGGUUUAAAUUAUUUUGUGUGUAUGUUUGUGUAUAUUUAUUAACACUUGACUAUUUAAGAGACCAAAUGUAAUUUUACUUUGAUAAUUUCACUGUUGGAGUUUCUAAUCUCAUAUAUUCAGGUUAAAUUCAUUCUUAUGACACUUAACAAUGAAACAAUUUUAUUUCUGUAUUCUGUAUAUAAUUUUCAUUUAAAUAAACCCUAUAUCUACUCCCUCUCUUCCUCAGCAUAAAUUGGCCUGUGGACAUUUUUGUGAAUAGACUUUACAUUGGAAAAUGAGCAAAGGAAAAUUUGUACUUUGGCCCAUAGAAAUUGUAAUAAAACUUGAAUUUU